AUAUUCAAUUGCUUUCCAAUUUCAUAUCCCCUGAAAAAUUCAAGAAUCUAUUAGUUUUUUUUAAUCUCAUUGAUAUUCUCUUUCUUUCCAAUUCAAUUUUCUCAAGAAAGAAAAACACUGAUGACCCGCAACAACUCUUCGUAAUUGUUAGGGUACCAAAUCCAUUCAAUCAUUUCAAGAUAUCUAUUGUUAUUGGCACCACUCAACGAUGGUUGACCCUCGCCCCACUUAAUUUCACUGCUGGGGGUUCAAUACCGGUGGUGAUGAGGUAGAGUAGAGAUUAAAAAUGAUGACGAGGAAGUUAUAUUCUUCACUUCAUCCUCAUCAUUUUUAACCCCUAGUCUAACCUCCUCACCACCAGUAUAGAUCCUCCAGAAGUGAAAUUAAGUAGGGGGUGGACCAUCAUUGAGUGAUAACAAAGAACAAUAGGGAUUUUGAGCUGAUGGGAUUCGCUAUCCUAAUAGUUACAAAGAGUUCCUGCGUUGCUAUCAAGGAUAAAAUUCCUCCCUUAUAAUUGAAUUGUGAUGCUACUAAGAGAAAUACUUUAAAUAUAUGUAGAUGUGCAUUUAUGUGUGGAGAAAUACUUUAAAUAUAUGUAGAUGUGCAUUUAUGUGUGGAGCAUUGCUCGACUUUCAAGCUAGGUUAUUGCUUACUUUUGUCAAACUCAACUUGGGUGAUGACUAAUUUUAUGACUUGAGAUUACAUCAUUGUCAAGUUUUACUCAAUUUCGGGGACAUUUUCUAAGUGCAAAGUUUAUAACAUCCUCCUUAUGUCAUAGCUAUUAACUCUGGUUGGUAGGCCUGUGAUACUUAUGGAGUACGCAUGAUUUUGUACUCGUACUACUCUUGCUGCCUCUUUUUGAGGAAGAAUACGGUGCUAGGUGACUUCUUUUUAUACUGCAUCUUGCCGAAGGACACAGAGCACAAGAUUAUGUAUGUGGCCUGGCGCCGUGGAUUAGAGAUUUGGAGGAAAGAGAUUAAAAGAUGAAUGCAUUUGUGUUGGAAGGCAAUUCUGAACAUUAAAUUUUCCAUAAAUUUGUAAGAAACUUUGAGGCUAUGGUAUGAACUCUGUGCAAUGAUGUUUAAACCUACUUCACUAGAUUUGUAUUAGAUUUUGCAAUUGUGUUUAGGCCAUAGGAAAAAACAUAGUUCACAACAUUAUGCAUUUUAUACAUGGCUCAUUUGAUAGAUGAA